AUUGAACGCUGGCGGCAUGCCCUACACAUGCAAGUCGAACGGCAGCACGGGAGCUUGCUCCUGGUGGCGAGUGGCGAACGGGUGAGUAAUACAUCGGAACGUACCCUGAAGUGGGGGAUAACGUAGCGAAAGUUACGCUAAUACCGCAUAUUCUGUGAGCAGGAAAGAGGGGGAUCGCAAGACCUCUUGCUUUAGGAGCGGCCGAUGUCGGAUUAGCUAGUUGGUGAGGUAAAGGCUCACCAAGGCGACGAUCCGUAGCGGGUCUGAGAGGAUGAUCCGCCACACUGGGACUGAGACACGGCCCAGACUCCUACGGGAGGCAGCAGUGGGGAAUUUUGGACAAUGGGCGCAAGCCUGAUCCAGCCAUGCCG
rnacentral:rRNA from 1 species